GGAAAGGAGCAUGCGCUGGAAGCUGUGUGCUGUUGGUUUGAGGAUCUUCAGUAAGCUAAAAGCGGAGAGUCAGGGGCCUUCUGCCCUACCAUGGUAUUUGCUAACGUUUAGAGAGUGCUUCCCCUUGCCGAGCACUGGCAAGAAGGCCCUCACCAAAUGCCAGCACCUUGACAUUGGACUUUCCAGCCUCCAGAAAUGUGAGAAAUAAAUGUCUUUACUUUAUAAA
rnacentral:antisense_RNA from 1 species